GAUGCUGUAGCCGUUGGGAAUGGCAUAGGUUUGCAAAACUGAAGUUGGUGGUUCGAAUCCACUCAGCAUCG
rnacentral:tRNA from 1 species